ensembl:lncRNA
CAGUUACCUGCCCAGGAGAUAUCAGUCACCUCCCCAGGAGAUAUCAGUCAGCUGCCCCUGGUGUUAUAGGGACAGGAGCUCCACGGCAUCCAUUGGUCUACACCGCACCAUGUGCCACGUCAACUCAUAUUAAUUUCACCUCAACUCCUUAAUCACUUUUUUUAGACUUGAACGCAGGGUUACAGUUGUGACCUUCGAAGAAUAUUUACGAUAAUUCAAUUCAAUUUUAUUUAUAUAGCGCCAUAACAAUACAAUUGUCUCUAGGCGCUUUACAGAGCGAUAAGUAUUUUCAAAAGUAAAUUGAACAAAACCAUUAAUUAGUAAACAAAUUCAUUGAUUGAUGGUCAUGGUACCUAAUGACCCCCUACAGUCGACUGGUUAAGGUCAGUGGCCAUGGAGGUUUUCUGGCGUUAGAUGGCACUAAUAGUGUGUUACUGCGAUGGUGGAUUCUGGGAGGUGUAGUCCAAUAGAGUGUUACUGCCAUGGUGGAUUCUGGGAGGUGUAGUCCACAGAAGUGUUACUGCGAUGGUGGAUUCUGACGUUAGAUGGCACUAAUAGGUAACACUAAAAAGUUACUGCUAUGGUGGUUCUGCUUGCUGAUUGGUUGAGGCUGUGCAUGUAUCUUUUCUUUUCUUCUGCCGUUUUCACUCCGCUCCACCCACUCAGAUCCAGCCCCGCCCACUAUGAUCCAGCCCCGCCCACCAUAUCUGGCUCCACCCACACAACCCCGCCCAUCCAUAUCUUGCUCCACCCACUCGGCUCCAGCUCCGCCCCCCAGCUCUAGCUCCACCCACUCGGCUAUGGGCCUGCAGAUUCCCCACAUUUUCUGCUGUUUUUGUAAAGAAUAUUUUCCUCUUUUUUUUUAAUCAAAUAAAGGAAAUGUGAACCCAUGGUGUUGUCCGCUGGUGGUCUUUGGGAGGUGUAGUCCAGUGGUUCUCAAACUUUUUGUCCGGGGACCCCAUAAAAUCCAUUUGCCAAGUCUCGCGACCCCCCACACAUUUUGACAGGAUAUCAUAGGUCUAAAUUCAGUUUCAUCUUGAAUGAUGAGACUGCUUGCUGAGACAAUAUUAGUUUUCAUUAUCCACCCUGAUGUAGAAAACACCAUUUCUGAUAGACUAUACAGCAAGUCAAAGCCUAAUAUGUUGAUGCACAGGGCAGCA